AUGGGCUGUGGGCUCCUCUGUGGCGUAACCCUCUGCCUCCUGGGAGUAGGCCCCUCACAGACAGCUAUUUUCCAGACUCCAAAAUUUCUUUUGGCACAGGUGGGAAAUAAGAAGUCUCUCAAGUGUGAACAAAAUCUGGGCCACAAUACAAUGUACUGGUAUAAGCAGGACUCUAAGAAAUUGCUGAAGAUUCUGUUUAGUUACACUAAUCAGAAACUCAUAUUAAAUGAAACAGUUUCAAGACGCUUUGCUCCUGAGCCUUCAAGCAAAGCUAAUUUAAAUCUUCGUGUCCAGUCCCUGGAGCUAGAUGACACGGCUGUGUAUCUGUGUGCCAGCAGCCAAGACACAGCCUUGCAGAGUCACCGCCUCCCUGCGCACAAACUUCACAGCCAGCCAGGAAGCUGUGGGAGCCAUGUGUUCUCCUAUGCCCAAGGCUCCAUUCUCUAG